rnacentral:rRNA from 1 species
GACGAACGCUGGCGGCGUGCCUAAUACAUGCAAGUAGAACGCAGUUGCGAACGGGUGAGUAACGCGUAGGUAACUGCCUCAUAGCGGGGGAUCACUAUUGGAAACGAUAGCUAAUACCGCAUACUGUGAGCUGGACCUGCGUUGUAUUAGCUAGUUUGUGCGUUAAAGGCUCACCAAGGCGACGAUACAUAGCCGACCGGAGAGGGUGCUUGGCCCAACUGGUACUGAGACACGGCUCAGAUCCCUAAGGGAGGCAGCAGGAGGGAAUCUUCGGCAAUGGGCGGAAGUCUGAACGAGCAAAGCCGGGGGAGUGAAGAAGGUUCUCGGAUCGUAAAGCUCUGUUGUUAGAGAAGCGUUAACCAACCAGAAAGGGCCGGCUAACUACGUGCCAGCCGCCGCGGUAAUUC